AUUUUUUUUAUUUAUAUUUUUAGCCCAUUAUGCCCAAAUCCAUCUUGACAAAAACCCAUCUUGACCUAAACCCAUUUUUUAAUAAACUCAUCCCAACCCAAACCCAUCAUAACCCACUGCCCAAACCUUCACGACCCACCCAUUUUGCCACCCCUAGUUUUUAUGUUCCCACUUGUGUAUCAUGUACUAAAUGAGAUGGAUUGUGUUUUUGUUCCAUCAAAUAUUGACUUGUUUGAGAAGCAUUGUGGUGUGAUGACUCGAUACAGCUUGAGACGUCACUUGCUAACCUUUGGAAGCAUUUGCAGUAACUUGGUUGAUAGGGACACUGUUGAGGAAGCGUUUAAGGUUGUUUGUAGAAAGAGGAUACUUGAAUAAUUACUAAUUAGAUGUGACCAGUUGAAAGUCACGAGGAAGCUUAAUUUUGUUUCAUAUUUAAUGCAAACUUUAAGUAUAUAAUGCUAAAUCACUAGUUGUCAUCUCUAAGUAUUUAGAAGUUUUGUUUCCAAAACAUGGCUUCUUCGCACCAUCCUUUCUAAACCUUUUUCUUAUGCUA